GCCUCGGUAGUGUAAUGGAUCAGCACCGCAGACCGGAUACCUGUAAGUGCAGUUUCGAGUCCCGCCUGAGGUU
rnacentral:tRNA from 1 species